CCGGUAAACGGCGGCCGUAACUAUAACGGUCCUAAGGUAGCGAAAUUCCUUGUCGGGUAAGUUCCGACCUGCACGAAUGGCGUAAUGAUGGCCAGGCUGUCUCCACCCGAGACUCAGUGAAAUUGAACUCGCUGUGAAGAUGCAGUGUACCCGCGGCAAGACGGAAAGACCCCGUGAACCUUUACUAUAGCUUGACACUGAACAUUGAGCCUUGAUGUGUAGGAUAGGUGGGAGGCUUAGAAGUGUGGACGCCAGUCUGCAUGGAGCCGACCUUGAAAUACCACCCUUUAAUGUUUGAUGUUCUAACGUUGACCCGUAAUCCGGGUUGCGGACAGUGUCUGGUGGGUAGUUUGACUGGGGCGGUCUCCUCCUAAAGAGUAACGGAGGAGCACGAAGGUUGGCUAAUCCUGGUCGGACAUCAGGAGGUUAGUGCAAUGGCAUAAGCCAGCUUGACUGCGAGCGUGACGGCGCGAGCAGGUGCGAAAGCAGGUCAUAGUGAUCCGGUGGUUCUGAAUGGAAGGGCCAUCGCUCAACGGAUAAAAGGUAC
rnacentral:rRNA from 1 species